rnacentral:rRNA from 1 species
AAGCUUUUAAGGGCAGAU